rnacentral:rRNA from 1 species
UACGUAGGGGGCAAGCGUUGUCCGGAUUUAUUGGGCGUAAAGAGCGUGUAGGCGGCCAGGUAGGUCUGCUGUGAAAACUCGAGGCUCAACCUCGAGAUGUCGGCGGAAACCGUCUGGCUAGAGUCCGGAAGAGGAGAAUGGAAUUCCCGGUGUAGCGGUGAGAUGCGCAGAUAUCGGGAAGAACACCCGUGGCGAAGGCGGUUCUCUGGGACGGUACUGACGCUGAGACGCGAAAGCGUGGGGAGCGAACAGG